GACCUGCGGGCCCUGGCGCCCGGGCCGGCAACUCCCGGGGAGCUCGGCCCGCGCCGGGAACUCGCCCAGCAGCCUGUGUUUCUCGAGUGUGGGGAGCCGGCUCCCGGGCGUCCCUCCCACCGGCUGCGGGGGCCCGGGACUGGGCGGUAGUGGAGGCAGGUCCUUGGACUGCAGGCUGAGGCUUUUUCCCCCCACGAGCGGUUUGGGCCCUCCAGGAGUCCCUGCGCGGGGGUCACGUGGAUUACGCUAGCGGUUCCCCUGGCGCCUCGACCCUCCUUUGAAGAGUCAUUCUAGAAGGCUGUAUUGCGAUACUGUUUGUACCUGUCACUGUGAGCCCUGAAAAGAGAAGAAAACGCGAGUGCCUGGCCUGAGGGUGCUCCGUCCCGUGGGUAGCCAGGGCACUCCACUUCAGCAUUCUCCUGUGGUGUAACAUUACCUGCCACUCAUGCUGGUUCCCAUGCGCCAAGCUAAUUUCAACAACGGGUGAAGUGGGUAUCUCCAUGUGAUGGCUGAGGAGACAGAUUCUGGGUGUUGCUACUAAGCCUCAUGGAGGCAGCCAUGACAGAGCAGAGCCUUCUGUCCUCCUGUUCCAGGUCAGCAGCCUCUCCCAAGGCAGGACUCCAUGGGCCAGCCUCUUUCCUCCCCCACCCUGCUUCUUCAGGCCAGGUCUUAUUUGGUCUGACAAUAAGUCUGAGAGAGGACUCCUCUUGUUGGGGGCUACCUUCAACACCAGACUCUCCAGAGUACAUCUUUGCAGCUCUAUAAACUUCUGGUAUUUGUUCACAUUGUCUAAUAAUUUCCUGGAAAUAGACUUAGUAUUUUUAGUUAUAAGAAGAGUUGAAAAAUAAUAUUGCUGUUCUAGAAGAAGGCAUUUAUUUAUUUUGCAUUUGUACUUCACCCAGAGGCUGGCUGUGCAGACAAAUCUCUCUGCUUGGGAAGGACAGGGCUCUCUAAAGCAACUCUAGGGAUGCAGCUGUCUACAAGUCACACUGAAAAUGAAAAGUAUGCUUAUGAGGUCAUAAGAAAGUCUUGUCAUAAGUUGUAAUUUUGUGUGUGUAUUUAAAAGGUAUUUGGUGACCAACCUUUUCUGUCACACACACGCACACACACACUAUUGCCUGAUGUCCAGGCUUAAACUGAGACUGAACUAUCACCUCUCUGUUACGCAUGUGCAAACACACUGAAACCUCAUUGUCUACACUCAGUGUGGCACUUCACCUGAUACCACCAUCUGACACCAGGCUGCAAGUCAUAGGUUGCAGUCAGGUACAUACACCCCUUUGCAAGAAGGCAUUCUCAAAACCUUCCACUAGAGGCACGUGUGAGCACCUUUGCUAGAAAGCUUUGGUUGGCUAGCCUUCCAGAGCAGAAAAAACUGGGAAUGGCCUGAACCCAAAAUUUACAUAAAAGUAAAUACAAAUAAUGAAUGAUUCCCUACUCUUCAGAGACAUGCAAAAUAGGAAAGAGAAAACUCUAUCAAAUUAGCAAACUACAUGAGGAUGAUGAACAUGAUCGUAGGAACUCAAUUACACACUGCCUGUGGAACUGUAAAGUUGUACAAACCUUUCAGCAAACAAUUUGGCAAAACAGAGCUUGUAUCUUAGUGUCCGUUCCCUUGAAUCCUUUCAUUCUAAGAUUCUAUUUUAUGGAAAUAACCAGAAAUAUGAGCAAAUAUUUAUGUUCAAAAUGUUUGCUGCAGUUUUUUUUUAAGAAGCAAAAAAAAAAAAAAAAAUAGAAACAUUCUAAAUGCUCGGGAUUAAAUAUAUUAUUCUCAUGAUGGAAUAUUUUGCAAUCACUAAAGUGAGGUCCGUGAGCAGUUUUAAUAACUUGAGAAAAUCUUAAAGUUAAGAGAAAGUUUCAGAUAGAAAAUUACAUACAGUAUUUUCUCAAUAAUUCAAUGUACUAAACAUGCAAAAGACUGGAAGAAAAAACAAUAAAAUGUCAAUUGAUUACUCUGGGUGAAAUUAUGGGUGGUUUUUAUUUUGUUAUUUAUAUUGUAUUUUUCUAUGUUUUCCAAAUUUUUCAGCCUGAGCAAUUUCCAAAGUGCUGAGUUGAGACAGCUGAGGAGCACAAUUAGUGUAAAAGAAAGACUACAGAUGGAACAGUGCAUAUCAUUUGAAGCAUGAUUAUAGGAAUAGACAUCAAGAAUUUAAAGCAAGCAUAAUACAUAUAUCAAAGAGGGAGGGGACUUAUUAGUAACAUUAAGCAAGAGAAAGAAAUAAUUGUUUUAAACCUAGUGGAAACAUUAAGUAUGAAGAAAGUAAUAAA